AAGCUUAAGGGCAGAGAUCUUUGUUUAUUCACUGACGCAGCCUGAAUACAUUCUAAAAUGCACCAGAUUUUUAGUUGAGACGUAACUGAUAGAUAACCUGUCUGCCAUGAUGGCUUGUUUCAGAGCUGUUUAUGAAGAAAUUGACGCUCAUCACCACAAAGGAGCUCAAAGUCAGUGACUGUUGAGGUGAAAGUGGAUGACCAGCAUUAGGGUGCCAACUCUCUAAAAGAAUCAGCUUUGAGGCCCAGAAGACCUACCAGCACAUCAAAGCCAUGGUGGAACAUUUCUCCUCUGCAAUAAUGAGGUUUAACAGAAGAGUAAUAAUUCCUGAGUAACAUCUGUGGUUCCUGACAACAGCUCAAGCUUGAUCUCAGAAGUACUUGGUUGUAACAUAUAUUCACUUAAAACUUCAGCAGAAGAAAAACUCACUAUACUAAGGUCAACCAGUAUAAUUAAAACAUGCUUCCUACAUUUAGAAAAGGUCAUCACACAGCUGUGGUAAGAGUAGAUCAAGAUUGUUUCAUUACAUAAUAAUUCUGAAUAGAUCUAAGCAUGAAAUGUGAGAAAGUCUAUUAUGCAGGAAAAAGACUGAGUGCCUUCAUUUAAAUGUAAAUGUCAGCCUAUACUUCUUUAUAAAUAAUACUCUUGUUUAGAAUUAUGAAUUGUAAAGGCCUUGAUGAUUGUAGUUUAAUUAUAUUUCAGGUACCCUGAAGAGGUCUCUGGACUUACCUUUAAAUCUGAUUCUUUAUAAUACUAAAUGUUCCUUUUCCCCCAUUUUACUGAAAUUUAGUAUUUCUUUGGAACAGAGACUACUGGGAAACAUUCAGAAUAAAUUGUGCAUUUGUUUAUGUCAUAAAUUACAAUGACAAAUAAAUUACCAUUGAAACAAUC